AGGGAAUCUUCCACAAUGGACGCAAGUCUGAUGGAGCAACGCCGCGUGAGUGAAGAAGGUCUUCGGAUCGUAAAGCUCUGUUGUUGGUGAAGAAGGAUAGAGGCAGUAACUGGUCUUUAUUUGACGGUAAUCAACCAGAAAGUCACGGCUAACUACGUGCCAGCAGCCGCGGUAAUACGUGGUGGCAAGCGUUGUCCGGAUUUAUUGGGCGUAAAGCGAGCGCAGGCGGAAUGAUAAGUCUGAUGUGAAAGCCCACGGCUCAACCGUGGAACUGCAUCGGAAACUGUCAUUCUUGAGUGCAGAAGAGGAGAGUGGAACUCCAUGUGUAGCGGUGGAAUGCGUAGAUAUAUGGAAGAACACCAGUGGCGAAGGCGGCUCUCUGGUCUGCAACUGACGCUGAGGCUCGAAAGCAUGGGUAGCGAACAGGAUUAGAUACCCUGGUAGUCCAUGCCGUAAACGAUGAGCGCUAGGUGUUGGGGACUUUCCGGUCCUCAGUGCCGCAGCAAACGCAUUAAGCGCUCCGCCUGGGGAGUACGACCGCAAGGUUGAAACG
rnacentral:rRNA from 1 species